rnacentral:rRNA from 1 species
GUUCAACCACAUACGGGUAUGAAAACUACCCUAUCUUUUUGACAGCAGUGAGGAAUUUUGGACAAUAUGCAAAAGCAUGAUCCAGCGAACUAAUGGAAAUGAAGAAGAUAGCUAAUAUUGUAAAGUUUAGUGCGAAAAUUAACAAGAUGAGUAAAUUUUAGGAGAAGCUCUGGCUAAUACAUGUGCCAGCAGCCGCGGUAAUACAUGAGGAGUAAGCGUUAUCCACAUUGACUGAGUGUAUUAAAUAUUAUGGAAGUUAUAAUUACUAUUAUAAAAACGUAUUAAAAACUAAAUAUAAUAGAUUUUUUAUAAACAAUAAUUAUUAAUAAGAAGAGGAGACUUAUAGAACAACGAUUAAAUGUAGUUACACUAUAUAGCUUGCCAUAAACUAAGGUGCUCUUCUAUUUUUAAUUUUAUCUUAUAUAUGAAAGUAUGGGUAUCGAUAAGGAUUAGUUUCCCUAGUAGUCCGUACUGUAAAAGAUGAAUACUUUAUGAUGAAAAUCAGGAAUAGCUAACGCAAAGUAUUCUACUCGGGGAGUAUUAUCGCAAGAUUAAAACUUAACUGAAUUGGCGGGAAUUU